CACGUAGGGCGCAAGCGUUGUCCGGAAUUAUUGGGCGUAAAGAGCGUGUAGGCGGCUUGGUAGGUCCGCUGUGAAAACUCGAGGCUCAACCUCGAGAUGUCGGCGGAAACCACUUGGCUAGAGUCCGGAAGAGGAGAGUGGAAUUCCUGGUGUAGCGGUGAAAUGCGCAGAUAUCAGGAGGAACACCAAUGGCGAAGGCAGCUCGCUGGGACGUGACUGACGCUGAGACGCGAAAGCGUGGGGAGCAAACAGG
rnacentral:rRNA from 1 species